rnacentral:rRNA from 1 species
GACGAACGCUGGCGGCGUGCUUAACACAUGCAAGUCGAACGGAAAGGCCCUGCUUUUGUGGGGUGCUCGAGUGGCGAACGGGUGAGUAACACGUGAGUAACCUGCCCUUGACUUUGGGAUAACUUCAGGAAACUGGGGCUAAUACCGGAUAGGAGCUCCUGCUGCAUGGUGGGGUUUGGAAAGUUUCGGCGGUUGGGGAUGGACUCGCGGCUUAUCAGCUUGUUGGUGGGGUAGUGGCUUACCAAGGCUUUGACGGGUAGCCGGCCUGAGAGGGUGACCGGCCACAUUGGGACUGAGAUAGGGCGCAGACUGCUACGGGAGGCAGCAGUGGGGAAUAAUGCACAAUGGGCGGAAGCCUGAGGCAGCAACGCCGCGUGCGGGAGGACGGCCUUUGGGUUGUAAACCGCUUUCGCCUGUGACGAAGCGUGAGUGACGGUAAUGGGUAAAGAAGCACCGGCUAACUACGUG